GUUUUCCGUGACUCGCCCGCUUCCUUCUCACUAUGUUCUCGGCUUCAGUGGUGUAUGUCUCUCCGGUCCACAUGCAGGCAGUUUCAACACAGACGCAGCGUUGAAUCACUGAACUGAUACUGCAAGAAUGUAUGCUGUCAGAUCCUCUCAUUAAUGGAGAAGAAAAAAACGUGUCUUUGAGGAUGAUGCUGGUUCUGACUCCAGGAGAGUGGGAGACACCCCAGGUCAGCCCGGUUUUGUGAACCAGGAUUGCCACAGUUCGGACGAGAUGUGCAGUAUCUCAGUGUGCGAAUGCUUGAAACUCAGAUCCUGCCUCAGCAGCUGUCGUGUAAUAAUAGUCUGCAAUAUUUAUUUAUUGCUUGACAAGAAGUGAGUAUCCUGAACCUCUGAUGACAUCGAAAGAAAACAAUGCCACAUGGUCAGCUGAUGUCAUUACAUAAAACAUAAGUGGUAGGAAAAGAUGACCUUUCAAUAUAAUUGAUUAUUGAUACACCUUCAUGUGACCUUGAAUGGUCUCAAGACCUAAUUACUGUACCUGUGGAUUGAAACUAAACCUGAUUACUGUCAGUGUUGGAGUGUUUAAUCACUGUCAGCUGAAGGAGCCUCUCAUGUGAGAUGCUUUACUCAGUAUCUGUGCUGGGAUUCAGAAAACGAUUUAAAUCAUGUCACCAAGUAUCAAAGCAUGAGCUGCUAAAGAGACGGCAACCCUGUAAUAUGCUACAUGAGCAUUUUGGUUGGUAAUAAUGACAUUUCAUAAUGACAUUAUCAUGAUGUCUUUUUUACCAUAAGAUGACAGGUGAUUGGUUAUUCUAAACAAGCAGUAGAUCAUGUAACUAAUCUUAA